GUUUUAAUUGGAAUUUAGUUUAGGAUUCAAGUUUUGGUCAGGGUUUGGUUUAGGUUUAAGAUUUGAUUUAGGAUUUAGAUUUUGGUUAGGAUUUAAUUUAGGAUUUAGGAUUUGGUUUAGGAUUUGGUUAGGAUUUGAUUUAGGAUUAUGAUUUGGUUAGGAUUUGAUUUAAGAUUUGGAUUUUGGUUAGGGUUUGGAGUUUGGUUAGGAUUUGGUUUAAGAUUUAGAAUUUGAUUUAGGAUUUGUUUGGAGUUUGGUUUAGGAUUUGUUUAGAAUUUGGUUUAUGGUUUAGGAUUUAUUUAGGAUUUGUUUAGAAUUUGGUUUAUGGUUUAGGAUUUAUUUAGGGUUUGGUUUAGGAUUUAAGAUUUGAUUAGGAUUUGAUUAGGAUUUUGUUAGGAUUUGAUUUAGGAUUUAGGAUUUUAUUUGGGUUUAUUUAGGAUUUAAGAUUUAAUUAAUUUUGGCCUAAAGUUUGAAUAAAAUCUAAUAGGAUUUUAACUAGGAUUAAAUUAAGAUUGAAUUGAGAUGUAUUUGAGAGAUAUUUGAGAUCAUUCUAAUAUUUCUUUAAGAUUUUUUAUUGUUUCUUUGAAAUUUCUUUGAGGUUUCUUUG
rnacentral:lncRNA from 1 species